AAGGCUAAGCAGGUCUGGGCCACCUGGAUAUCCCAGCUAGAAAUAAUGGAAUAGGACUGCGGUUCUAUUUUGUGGGUUUUCUUCUCUUAACUGGGGCCAUGAUUAAGAGGGAUGGCCGGGGGCUAGAGAUUAAAU